AUGCGUGUCACUCAAACAAGGACAGUAAAAAAAAUUCAAAAAAACCAGAAAAAUGGAACCCUUACGGGCCUAGUAUUCUUGGUAUGGGUGUGGAAAGUGGCGAUCCCAUUGAAAAUAAAAAUAUUCCUAUGGCAACUAUUCCAAAACGCUGUUCUCACGCGCGAUAACAUGUGGCGGAGGAAUUGGCCGGGGAAUCCUGUUUGCUCUUUUUGCACUAAUAUGGAAACUGCUAAACACCUCUUUUUCACUUGUCCUCUCGCCCGCACAGUCUGGGGUAUUGCUAGGAUUGACCGCUGGGGCCUCUUGUGCUCCCAGAUCCAUUUGGCAAAGUCUAGCUUGGUUAUACAAAUUGUUUCCUGGAGGCAAAAAGUUCUAUAUGAUGAUUAUUGCUGCAGUGUGCUGGGGGAUUUGGUGCCUCCGUAA
rnacentral:rRNA from 1 species